rnacentral:rRNA from 1 species
UACGGGGGGGGCAAGCGUUGUUCGGAAUUACUGGGCGUAAAGGGCUCGUAGGCGGCCAACUAAGUCAGACGUGAAAUCCCCAGGCUUAACCUGGGAACUGCGUCUGAUACUGGAUGGCUUGAAUCCGGGAGAGGGAUGCAGAAUUCCAGGUGUAGCGGUGAAAUGCGUAGAUAUCUGGAGGAACACCGGUGGCGAAGGCGGCAUCCUGGACCGGUAUUGACGCUGAGGCGCGAAAGCCAGGGGAGCAAACGGG